rnacentral:rRNA from 1 species
UGCCAGCCGCCGCGGUAAUACGAAGGGUGCUAGCGUUGUUCGGAAUUACUGGGCGUAAAGCGCACGUAGGCGGCAAUGUAAGUUGGGGGUGAAAUCCCAGGGCUCAACCCUGGAACUGCCUCCAAAACUACUAGUCUUGAGUUCGAGAGAGGUGAGUGGAAUUCCGAGUGUAGAGGUGAAAUUCGUAGAUAUUCGGAGGAACACCAGUGGCGAAGGCGGCUCACUGGCUCGAUACUGACGCUGAGGUGCGAAAGUGUGGGGAGCAAACAGGAUUAGAUA